rnacentral:rRNA from 1 species
UUCAGAUGCAAACCUCCUUGUCAAAGCUCAAGCUCAUCAUAUCUUUGAAAUUAAGCAGGGCUGGGCCUGGUUAGUACUUGGAUGGGAGACUGCUGAGAAUAUCGUGUGCCACAGUAU